AAGUCAGAUGUGAAAGCCUUCUGUUCAACGGAAGAAUUGCAUCUGAAACUGCGAGUCUUGAGUGUAGGAGGGGAGAAUGGAACUUCUGGUGGAGCGGUGAAAUGCGUAGAUAUCAGAAGGAACGCCGGCGGCGAAAGCGAUUCUCUGGCCUAUUACUGACACUCAGUGUGCGAAAGCUAGGGGAGCAAACGGGAUUAGAUACCCCGGUAGUCCUAGCCGUAAACGAUGGGCACUAAGUAGAGGGAAUUACCGAUAUUCUCUCUGCCGUAGCUAACGCAUUAAGUGCCCCGCCUGGGGAGUACGGCCGCAAGGCUAAAACUCAAAAGAAUUGACGGGGGCUCGCACAAGCGGUGGAGCAUGUGGCUUAAUUCGAUGCAACGCGUAAAACCUUACCGGGGCUUGACAUGAUAGAAGUAGGAACCCGAAAGGGUAACGAACGGUAUCCAGUCCGUAGCUAUUACAGGUGUUGCAUGGCUGUCGUCAGCUCGUGUCGUGAGACGUUGGGUUAAGUCCCCUAACGAGCGAAACCCUUGUUUUUAGUUGCCAGCGGGUUGUGCCGGGCACUCUAGAAAGACUGCCGUCGUCAAGACGGAGGAAGGUGGGGACGACGUCAAGUCAUCAUGGCCCUUAUGCCCCGGGCUGCACACGUGCUACAAUGGUCGGUACAAACGGAAGCGAAG
rnacentral:rRNA from 1 species